GUGGGGAAUAUUGGACAAUGGGCGCAAGCCUGAUCCAGCAAUGCCGCGUGGGUGAAGAAGGUCUUCGGAUCGUAAAGCCCUUUCGACAGGGACGAUGAUGACGGUACCUGUAGAAGAAGCCCCGGCUAACUUCGUGCCAGCAGCCGCGGUAAUACGAAGGGGGCUAGCGUUACUCGGAAUUACUGGGCGUAAAGGGCGCGUAGGCGGCUCUGUUAGUCAGGCGUGAAAUUCCUGGGCUUAACCUGGGGACUGCGCUUGAUACUGCAGGGCUUGAGGCCGAGAGAGGGUGGUGGAAUUCCCAGUGUAGAGGUGAAAUGCGUAGAUAUUGGGAAGAACACCGGUGGCGAAGGCGACCACCUGGCUCGGUUCUGACGCUGAGGCGCGACAGCGUGGGGAGCAAACAGGAUUAGAUACCCCUGUAGUCC
rnacentral:rRNA from 1 species